CUAGCAUAUCAAUAAGCGGAGGAAAAGAAACCAACAGGGAUUGCUCUAGUAACGGCGAGUGAAGCAGCAAUAGCUCAAAUUUGAAAUCUGGCGUCUUCGACGUCCGAGUUGUAAUUUGUAGAGGAUGCUUCUGAGUAACCACCGACCUAAGUUCCUUGGAACAGGACGUCAUAGAGGGUGAGAAUCCCGUAUGCGGUCGGAAAGGUGCUCUAUACGUAGCUCCUUCGACGAGUCGAGUUGUUUGGGAAUGCAGCUCUAAAUGGGAGGUAAAUUUCUUCUAAAGCUAAAUAUUGGCCAGAGACCGAUAGCGCACAAGUAGAGUGAUCGAAAGAUGAAAAGCACUUUGGAAAGAGAGUUAAAAAGCACGUGAAAUUGUUAAAAGGGAAGGGAUUGCAACCAGACUUGCUCGCGGUGUUCCGCCGGUCUUCUGACCGGUCUACUCGCCGCGUUGCAGGCCAGCAUCGUCUGGUGCCGCUGGAUAAGACUUGAGGAAUGUAGCUCCCUCGGGAGUGUUAUAGCCUCUUGUGAUGCAGCGAGCGCCGGGCGAGGUCCGCGCUUCGGCUAGGAUGCUGGCGUAAUGGUCGUAAUCCGCCCGUCUUGAAACACGGACCAAGGAGUCUAACAUCUAUGCGAGUGUUCGGGUGUCAAACCCCUACGCGUAAUGAAAGUGAACGGAGGUGAGAACCGCAAGGUGCAUCAUCGACCGAUCCUGAUGUCUUCGGAUGGAUUUGAGUAAGAGCAUAGCUGUUGGGACCCGAAAGAUGGUGAACUAUGCCUGAAUAGGGUGAAGCCAGAGGAAACUCUGGUGGAGGCUCGCAGCGGUUCUGACGUGCAAAUCGAUCGUCAAAUUUGGGUAUAGGGGCGAAAGACUAAUCGAACCAUCUAGUAGCUGGUUCCUGCCGA
rnacentral:rRNA from 1 species